rnacentral:rRNA from 1 species
GACGAACGCUGGCGGCGCGCCUAACACAUGCAAGUCGAACGAGCGAGAGAGAGCUUGCUUUCUUUGAGCGAGUGGCGAACGGGUGAGUAACGCGUGAGGAACCUGCCUCAAAGAGGGGGACAACAGUUGGAAACGACUGCUAAUACCGCAUAAGCCCACGGCUCGGCAUCGAGCAGAGGGAAAAGGAGCAAUCCGCUUUGAGAUGGCCUCGCGUCCGAUUAGCUAGUUGGUGAGGUAACGGCCCACCAAGGCGACGAUCGGUAGCCGGACUGAGAGGUUGAACGGCCACAUUGGGACUGAGACACGGCCCAGACUCCUACGGGAGGCAGCAGUGGGGAAUAUUGCACAAUGGGGGAAACCCUGAUGCAGCGACGCCGCGUGGAGGAAGAAGGUCUUCGGAUUGUAAACUCCUGUUGUUGAGGAAGAUAAUGGCGGUACUCAACAAGGAAGUGACGGCUAACUACGUGCCAGCAGCCGCGGUAAAACGUAGGUCACAAGCGUUGUCCGAAAUUACUGGGUGUAAAGGGAGCGCAGGCGGGAAGACAAGUUGGAAGUGAAAUCCAUGGGCUCAACCCAUGAACUGCUUUCAAAACUGUCUUUCUUGAGUAGUGCAGAGGUAGGCGGAAUUCCCGGUGUAGCGGUGGAAUGCGUAGAUAUCGGGAGGAACACCAGUGGCGAAGGCGGCCUACUGGGCACCAACUGACGCUGAGGCUCGAAAGUGUGGGUAGCAAACAGGAUUAGAUACCCUGGUAGUCCACACUGUAAACGAUGAUUACUAGGUGUUGGAGGAUUGACCCCUUCAGUGCCGCAGUUAACACAAUAAGUAAUCCACCUGGGGAGUACGACCGCAAGGUUGAAACUCAAAGGAAUUGACGGGGGCCCGCACAAGCAGUGGAGUAUGUGGUUUAAUUCGACGCAACGCGAAGAACCUUACCAAGUCUUGACAUCCUGCGACGGUGCUGGAAACAGUACUUUCCUUCGGGACGCAGAGACAGGUGGUGCAUGGUUGUCGUCAGCUCGUGUCGUGAGAUGUUGGGUUAAGUCCCGCAACGAGCGCAACCCUUAUGGUCAGUUACUACGCAAGAGGACUCUGGCCAGACUGCCGUUGACAAAACGGAGGAAGGUGGGGAUGACGUCAAAUCAUCAUGCCCUUUAUGACUUGGGCUACACACGUACUACAAUGGCGUUAAACAAAGAGAAGCAAGACCGCGAGGUGGAGCAAAACUCAGAAACAACGUCCCAGUUCGGACUGCUGGCUGCAAACUCGCCUGCUCGAAGUUCGGAAAUUGCUAGUAAUUCGCUGAUCAGCUUGCUGCGGUAAUUACGUUUCCCGGGCCCUU